CCCUCGGGACUCCUGGAGGCCUGGCGGCUCCCGAUCCUCGUCUGCGGCAGCCGCCUGAGAGAGCAGCGCGGCCGUAGCCGGGGGCCGGAGAGCGCUGGUGGGUGCAGAUGGAUGAGUCGUGCAGGGCAACGGAGGAGAGCCCAGGGGAGCGCUGGAAGAAGGUGACAGCCCUGCGAUGCUGCGGUGCCUGCGAGGUGAUGCCGCCGUGCUCGUUGCUGCUUCCUGGUAAGGAAAGGCCUCCUCCGCUCCUGCUGCAGCGUGGUGGUGUGUCGGACACGAUUCCCUGUGUCGGGUGAGGCCUAGGGCUGCCGGCGAGGUGAGCGAGCCCCUUUGGUGGGUGCCGGGGUGUCUCCUUGUGUGCCUGCACUACUGGGGCUGGUGGGAUGGGAAGCUUCAAACGACCUGCCGAGGCAGGCUUCUGGUAUGCUAAAGGCGAGCGGGUGAGGGCAGCCCCAGGAGUUACCCGGGAGCUGAUAGAAGGGAAGAGGGAAAGGAGGAGGAGGAGGAUGACCUU